rnacentral:rRNA from 1 species
GGGUGAGUAACACGUGGGCAACCUGCCUGUAAGACUGGGAUAACUUCGGGAAACCGGAGCUAAUACCGGAUAAUCCUUUUCCUCUCAUGAGGAAAAGCUGAAAGACGGUUUACGCUGUCACUUACAGAUGGGCCCGCGGCGCAUUAGCUAGUUGGUGAGGUAACGGCUCACCAAGGCGACGAUGCGUAGCCGACCUGAGAGGGUGAUCGGCCACACUGGGACUGAGACACGGCCCAGACUCCUACGGGAGGCAGCAGUAGGGAAUCUUCCGCAAUGGACGAAAGUCUGACGGAGCAACGCCGCGUGAGUGAUGAAGGUUUUCGGAUCGUAAAACUCUGUUGUUAGGGAAGAACAAGUACAAGAGUAACUGCUUGUACCUUGACGGUACCUAACCAGAAAGCCACGGCUAACUACGUGCCAGCAGCCGCGGUAAUACGUAGGUGGCAAGCGUUGUCCGGAAUUAUUGGGCGUAAAGCGCGCGCAGGCGGUCCUUUAAGUCUGAUGUGAAAAGCCCACGGCUCAACCGUGGAGGGUCAUUGGA